GGGGGUGCACCGGUUUCGACUGGUACGAUUCGGGGUGCAGGCUGCAGGUGGAGUGCCGAUCUCCUAACAUUCGGCAACAAUUUAACUGCCGACUAUGACAGUUACGCUCUCGCUGCGUAAGCAGUAGAGCGCGGGAACCGGCUCCGCCGCCUUGAGGAGCCGAAUUUCCGUCGCAAUCAAGGCUGGUCAAGCUCUGUUUCCGGACGGGGGGCGACGAGACAACUCCGGAAUACGGAUGGGCCACAUGCCGUGCAGUUAAGCCCGUCCCGACAAUGUAAUGUACGGAUAAACCUGUAGAGGCGUGUAUUUCGCGUAUUAGGACGCGGGUUCGACUCCCGCCACCUCCAACG
rnacentral:tmRNA from 1 species